GUGGUGAGGUUUCCUCGAGGAGAGAGAGGGGAAGAAACCGAAGAAGCGAUCCCGUUAGGGUUUGGUGAGAGAGUUGGAGAGAGAGGGAAGAUGGUGGAGGGGUGGGCCCCGCAGACCAAGAUUUUGGCUCAUGAGAAUGUUUGUGGUUUCAUUAGUCAUUGUGGGAUGAGUUCUACGAUGGAGAGCUUGUAUUUCGGGGUGCCGGUGAUCGGCGUUCCGAUCAAGCUCGAUCAGCCGUUGAAUUCAAGGCUGCUGACGGAGGCUGGUCUUUGUGUCGAGGUGGCGAGAGACGAGAAUGGAGAUUUUCGAGGAGAUGAUGUGGCGGCGGCGAUCCAAAAAGUUGUGGAGAGUGGGGAGGGGAUGAGGGUUAAGGCGGCGGAGAUGAUAGAGGCGAUGAGGGCGGAGGAAGAGUUCGCGGUUAGGGAGGCCGCCGAGCAUCUCAGGCGAAUUUGUGUCGAGCGUAUGAUCUAGUUGGUGGAGUGACAGAUUUUUUAAUAUUAUAAAAAUAAAGAAAAAAUAGUACUCAAUGGUAGAAUAAUCAAUAUUUUAAUAUUAUAAAUUUCAAGUUUGAGUUUAUUAUCAUGCAAAUUCUUAGAAUAUUUGUUUCUCUUGAAAAAAGAUACAGUAUAAAGAGAAUGUAGAGUGACUGAGGUUUAUUUAAUUUCGUGUAUAGAAUUCGUAGGUUUUAUGUGGAAUAGAGAGAUUAAGUCAUGCAUUUGCACACGUUAUAUAUAAAUGUGUUAGUUCUUAAAAAUUUGUAGGAUUGUUGUUAUAUAAAAUUAUUUAAUUAUUUCAAAUUUUGAUGCCUAUUCUUUGUUUCAUUGUUAAUUUUUAAUUAUUAUUUUUUCAAUUUAAUUUUUUAUAGUGUCGUACAGUUUUAAAAUUAAUUAUUAACUAUGGUUCAUUGAUCUAAUUAGGAUAUUUAUAUAAUUAUUUUUAUACUUUAUGUUGUGAUUUUUGAUUUAUAAUUCGUAAUUGGACUUACUUUACCCAUAAUUAGAUACAUAAUUUCCCUUUCUUAAAUUUAAAUUUCGAGUGAUGAAUAUUUAUUAUGAUUCAUUAUACCUUUCAUUUUAAUUCUUUGUAAAAUAGUGAAAUGAAAUUAAUGUUAUAAGACACUAAAACCAAUGAUAUAUUAUGUAGAAAAACUUAUAAUAUGCAAACACCUACUGUAUUACUUAAAGAAAAUGAAAGAGAUCUGAUCGCCAUAUAUAUAUAGAUUAACCCUUGUAAAAUAAUGAGAUUCUCUAGAGAAAUAUUACAGCAAUAUUCAUGUCUAGUGUCCGGCCGUCAAAGAGUUAAUAUUCGUAUUCAAACACUAGUAAAAUUAUAAUUAUAUAUACUACUCUUAAAUAUUAUAGUGUCCCACUUGCAAUAUCAUAUGUACUAUUAAAUGUAUCAUUUUAAUAAUUAAUGCAUGUGCAUACUGUGAAAUUUCUUUAUAAACAAUGCUGGAGAUAGUCAGAAGAGAACGGGAAUCACAUGCUCAAAUAAAUGUAUAUUACAAGACAAGUUGUUAAUUGAGAGUAAUUAUAGAUUGACAAAUCAGGAUCUUUAUGGAGUAAUUAUUAUGUGAUGAGGAAUCGUAAUGGAGGCAUGAACAUCACUGACAAAUUGCAACAAACAACAAGAAAACUACAUAUUGUGAUAAAGUAAUGGACAUGGCCCUCAUUGAUUAAAGAAGACUACUUCAAAUUUGAUCUGUUAUGUCAUCAAAUCUUGCCUUGAUUGAAAAACAUUUUGAGAUCUGCAAUAAAAAAUAUAACUUUCUUUUUUGUGUCUUAUUAAUUAAAAAAAUGUGUGAGACCCAACAAUGAGGCCCAUCAACUUAUACUAAUUCUUAUGUCCCACGAAUCUUGAUACGUAUUUUUUUUUUGGUCGUCCCAUGAAUCUUGACACAUUUUCAAAUAUGAUACUCCCUUCGUCCCACGAAUCUCGAGUCAUUUUCUGUACGGGAAUUAAAGAGUUAAAUGUAGUGUUUUAAGUGUGUAGGUAAUAAAGUAGAAAAGUGAUUAGAUAAAUGUGUAGGUAAUAAAGUAGAAAAGUACACAAUUAGUUAACAUAAAGUUUAAUUAAAACUCCUUAUUUUCCCCCUAAUUCUUAGUGUAUAUAGAAAUUACUCAAGAUUCGUGGGACGGUCGAAAAAUGAAAUUGACUCAAGAUUCGUGGGACGUAUGGAGUAAUAAUUAUUACAUUAUCGCUCCUACUUUAUCACUUUUAUUACCUCAUCUCUCCUAUUUUAUCACUUUUUAUUGCCACAUCUCUCCUAUUUUAUCAUUUUUAUACUUUAUUAUCUAUACACUUAAAACACUAAUUUACAAUUUUUUUAAUUCUUGUGUCCAAACCAAACGUAUCAAGAUUUGUGGGACGGAGAAUAUAUACCUCAACUUCCGUAUAACUAUAAUAAUGUAGGCCAUUAAUUCAUGUUAAGUCCAUUUAGACAUGUUCACAAAAAUGAGGCCCAUCAACUUAUACUUUAUUUACGAUAUUCUGGUGGUUUCAUUCUUAUUUUAAUGUUUUGAAGAAAUAUCAUAUUCUGUCAUAAUGUUUAAUUUCCUUUUUAAUAAUACCACACUUUUUAAAUUUUGACAAAUUAAUAUUACAUGUAUUAUUUUGAUAUUCUUUUUAAUAAUAUCAUGAAGCUUAAACAUAAAAGUCCAUAUAGCUAGCUAGCCCAUAUGUUACUAGUUGGGCUAUAUGUGUUGUAGAAUUCCUAAUAUUCCUAGAAUCAAUCAAUAGAAUAUUACAAGUCAAUCUAAACUAUAUGUCAAUAAUAGCAAGUUUGAAAAGAGAUUAAAAAUCAAAAGAAAGACUAUAUUAUAGUAUAUAUAUAUAGAUAUAUAUAUAUAUAUAUAUAUAUAUANGAAAAGAGAUUAAAAUACAAAAGAAAGACUAUAUUAUAUAUAUAUAUAUAGAUAUAUAUAUAUAUAUAUAUAUAUAUAUAUGCAUGAGAAUUGACUUCUUUGGUUACCUUUUUGUCAAAAAGAAAUGUUGAACUAAUAAAUUAAUCAUUUGAAGCAUUUUUUUUCGUGUGUAUCACAAACGUACGUGGUACUCUUGGUCCAUUACAAAUGUCCCACUUAUCAUAAUAAGAUGUCUCAUUCUUUUUUUGGCAAUAAACUCUCUCUAUAUCUAAUAUUUAAAUAAUUUCUAUCAACUCACUUUAUCUACUUUCUACAUAUUUCUUAAUCUUCGUGCUUAAAAGUAAUGAAACAUUUAUAAUGAGAUGGAGAGAGUACAUAUUUUCUCACUUAUAGAGUGGUAUCAGAUCACCAUAUACACCAUCAAUUCAAAUCCUGAUCUUUUACUAUUGUGGUAUUUUUUUUAUUGUAUUUAUAAAUUAUUAACAUGCACUAUUAAAAAAGUUUAUAGAUGACGCUCAUAAAGCAUCAUUUAUGUAUGUCUAAAGUAUCAAACAUAACUGUCAUCUAUAUGUUCAUAAAUGACGCUUUGUACAUUAUAGAUGACAUUUAAAAGCGUCAUCUAUUCAUAUUAAACAUCAUAAUUGAUGCUUAGAUGACGAUUUUUUACCGCCAUCUAUUUAUUUUUCUAUUUAAACGAUCUUUUGGGAUUUUUUUUGAAUUUCUUGUUUUAAAUUUUAAAAUUCAAUUAAUUGUAGUAUAAAAAAAACAUAUUUCAACACAAAUGCAAAUGCCUAUUAACAUAUUCAUAUAUUAAUAAUCCAACACUAAAAAUCCUACAUCCACAUCAUACCACAUAAUACUAAAAAAUAUAAACAACAAAAUUCAAAAUAACAUAUUUAAAAAUCAUAUCCAAAAUCAACGAACUUUUUUAUCGAUCAAUAUUAAUUAAUUGUCCUUUCACAUGUCAAUCUACAAAGCAAAAUGAGCUAUGCAUUACUCGGCAUUAUAUAAUACUAGCAAUUAUAUAAUGAAAUGUAAACAUCAUAUCUAGAAUUAAAUUUCCAUUAUCUUGCAGAUAAAAUACUGUAAUAUUUUUACCUGUACAAGCACGAAUCUUUCAAUACCCCGCGUGCUGGGUCACCUACUACAACUAUUGUAUAUACAUGUAUAGUCACCACCAAAUUUCUUCUAGUCAGUUUCACCACUAAGAGGGUGUUUCGCUGAGCUUAUAAGCUCCUCAAAACAGCUUCUCCAAAGUGUUUAACAAAAUAAGCUUCCAAACAGCUUAUAAGCUCCCCAAACAAUAAUUUUCUUUACCCCAACUUAUUUUUUAUAAUCUCAUAUGCAACAAUCAUUUUAUAAAUAUUUUUCAACUGCAAUUUAUUAUUUUCAUUAUAUAUCAUUCAAGUUCAUUUUUCUUCGAUUUUCUCUCUCUAAAAAAAUAUUUUCUCUCUCUAACAAAAAAUUCUCUCUCUCUAACAAAAAAUUCUCUCUCUAGCUUAUAAGCUCAAUUAUCCAAAUACUUUGUCAACUUAUAAACUCUUAAAAAUUACAUCUUAUAAGCUCUUGAAAUAUUUUAUAAGCUCCAAGAGCUUAUAAACUCUUUAAAAUAAGCUUAGCCAAACACCCUCUAAGCAAUUUCAUGUAUCCACCACCACCACAUAUGUUACGAUAUUAAAGCUUUAGAAUUUAAAGUUAAUAAUAGACGAAAAAUGUACACUUUCACAUUAACAACCUUAAUAUAUUAAGAGUACCCGUUUGUCAUAUUCUUUAUCUAUGUAUGUAUUUUACAAUGUCACGACAAUUAACAAUAUAAUAUCUGAAAUAGUACGUCACGUACACGGAACUAACUCAUUUAUACGUCGACCAAAAUUUCUUACUAUAUUUUUGUCGUGCACCACCUCGAUUAAUCAGUAAUGAUCAUUUACAAAGUGAAAAAAAUAGUACUUAAAAUUCAAUUAGCAAUUAAAAAAUAGGGUUAAUAGUGUUUUAUGUCCCGAACUUUCAGCGUUUUUCAUAAAAUAUUCUGAACUUUUAUUUUCUCUUAAAAAACCCUGAACUUUCAAUUUUUUUCCAUAAAAUGUCCCGCUAUACAAAAUUCGAUAACGGAAAGAUGAUUUAAAAAACCCGAACUUUCAGCGUUUUUCAACCAUAGUAGUUCCCAAUAUGGUGGCGGCCCCAAAAUAUUUCUUUCAGCGAGAUAAUUCAUCUUUUUGUCACCAAAAUUUGUAUAGUGAGAUAUUUUAUGGAAAAAACUGAAAGUUCAGAAUUUUUAAAAAGAAAAUAAAAAUUCGAAAUAUUUUAUGAAAAACGCGGAUAGUUCGGGAUAUAAAAUACUAUUUAUCAUAAAAAAAUAAUGUCUUGGUAACAACACAAGGCAGGCAGCCGGCUUAUAAGAAUACUAUGCAUUAGUAUAAUUUUUCCUUGACUUAAAUAGUAAACACUAAACACAAGAACCACAACCAUUAUAUAUCAAAACUUUGACCAUAUCAUCAAAUUCCCCUUCAUAGAGGUGUGUGUGUGUGUGAGGGGAGAGUGUGUGUGUUGAUCAAUGGAGGCAAAGGAAGCAAGUCUAUCGAUCUUAAUGUUCCCAUGGCUAGCCCACGGCCAUGUCUUCCCCUACCUCGAGCUAGCCAACCAUCUCUCCAACCUAAACUUCACCAUCUUCUUCUGCUCCACUCCCAUCAUCCUCCAAUCCCUCCCCGACCACCGCGACACCCCGAUCACCCUAAUCCCUCUCCACCUCCCCUCCCCGCCAGAUCUCCCGCCGGAGCUCCACACCACCAAGCACACGCCGCCCCACCUCAUGCCGCGCCUCCGGGAGGCCUUCCACGCCUCCCAAGCAGCCUUCUCCGCCAUCCUCGCCUCCCUCAGCCCCAGCAUGCUCAUCUUCGACUUCUUCCAGCCCUGGGCCGCCGAUGCCGCCGCCGCCCUGAACAUCCCCGCCGUCCACUUCGCCACCACCGGCGCCGCCGCCUACUCCUUCUACUACCACAACUUCACCAGAAAGGGCUCCCCCUUCCCCCACGGCGCGAUGUACCUCCACCCCACGAGUGGGCGGCGCUGCGGGCCACCACCUCCAAUCUCAAAAUGGACAACUUAGAAAGCGGGAUCCCCCACUUCAACCGCUCCCGCGACGUCGUUUUGAUGAAGACGGCGCGGGCCGUCGAAGGGAAAUACAUGGAUUACCUUUCUCAGUUGUGUAACAAGAAAAUACUCGCCGUGGCCCACUUAUUACAACUACCUCCGACAAUGCCGGACAUGGUAAGAGAAUUUAUUAUCAAAUUGAAUUAUAGAAAAUAUAGCUUAUAUCGAGAACUUUUGAUGCAGAUUCCGACAUCAUGGAUUGGUUAGCAAGAAAGAGAGAUUCUCGACCAUUUUCGUCUCAUUUGGAAGCGAGAACUACUUGUCCAAGAAUCAAAUGGAAGAAAUGGCGAAAGGUCUAGAAGCUUCGAAUGCCAACUUCAUAUGGGUGGUGAGGUUUCCUCGAGGGGAGAGAGAGGAAGAAACCGAAGAAGCGCUGCCGUUAGGGUUUGCUGAGAGAGUUGGAGAGAGGGGGAAGAUAGUGGAGGGGUGGGCCCCGCAGACCAAGAUUUUGGCGCAUGAGAAUGUUUGCGGUUUCAUUAGUCAUUGUGGGAUGAGUUCUACGAUGGAGAGCUUGUAUUUCGGGGUGCCGGUGAUCGGCGUUCCGAUCAAGCUCGAUCAGCCGUUGAAUUCGAGGCUGCUGACAGAGGCCGGUCUUUGUGUCGAGGUGGCGAGAGACGAGAACGGAGAUUUUCGAGGAGAUGAUGUGGCGGCGGCGAUCGGAAGAGUUGUGGAGAGUGGGGAGGGGAUGAGGGCUGGGGCGGCGGAGAUCAGGGAGGCGAUGAGGGCGGAGGAAGCGUGCGCGGUCGGUGAGGCAGCGGAGCAUCUCAGGCGAAUUUGUGUCGAGAGCGUAUGAUCUAGUUGGUGGAGUGACGAUUUUAUAAUCUUAUGAAAAUCAAGAGAAUUUAGUGUUUAUUGAUUUAAUUGUAAAUUGAUUAAUACCUAAAAUCACAAAUUUUAAAUUUGAAUUCAUCGUCAUGUAAUUUUUUUAGAAUAUUUAUUUCUACCAGAAACACUUGGAACAAUGAUAAUUGCAUCGUGUAGAAAAGCUUAUUGUUGGUGUUUAUAAUCUGCAACUGUAUUACUUCAAAGAAAAUGAAGAGAUAUCGCCAUAGAUUAAUUAUGAGAUUCUCUAAAGAAAUGCAACAAUAAUCAUGUCUAGUGUCGGAGACUCAGUCACAUUCAAACACUAGUAAAAUUAUAAAUAUACUAGUAUUAAAUAUUAGUCAUAUAUAAAAUCCUGGAACAAGUACGUUCGAUUAUUCAUGUGUUCCAAUAUUCUUCGUGUCCCACUUGAAUCUAUUAUACGUAUCGUUUUAAUAAUACAUUUGUUUGUAUAUAUAUAUAAUAUGGCCUUAUUUAAGAUUUAUUAAUGUCAAAAGGAGAUUUAUUAAUUAAUUAAAACUAAACACUUGUGCGCCGGCGGCCGGCCGGCCACCUCUUUUAUUUAUAUAAGGGCAUGGGGCCCAGCCGCAUGGUGCGCCGGCCACCUCUUCAUUUAUUAGGUUUAUUUUAGAUAUCUUUAUUUAUUUUAUUUAUUUUUUGAAAUACAAGACAUGUAUAUUUGAUAUAAUAUUCAAUAAAAAAAAUAUUUUAUAUAAUAAAAGAAAAUUCUAGAAUCAAUGAUCAAAUAUCCAAACUAAAUAAGAGAAAUUUUGGUGUCUCAACAUUGCCCUUUUUUCUUCUCUUGAUUCUUUGUUAGGAGUAAUACAGUAUUUUAGCACAAAUUUUGCUCGAAAUCCAUUUUUUGUAUAAUCUUUAAAAAAAAUUAUUUUUUAUCACAAGUUUUGAUAUUUGUUCAAUUUUCUCACAAUUUUUAUUUUCCCUUAAAUCGGAAUCGACGUGGCACUGAUGUGGCUAGCUAGCUGGCACACACCAUACUUGUUGCUUUCCGGUGUAUUAAACGCAACGUUUCAUAAAAAAAUGAUUUUUUUAAACAUUAUGGGAAAAAUGGAUUUCGGACAAUAUUCUUGAUAUUACAUGCAAUUAACUCAAGAAAAAAACACAAAUAUUUUUUUGCAAAGUCUGCAACUUCCUCCCAUUCCAAAUUUUUAAAGAAUAUCAAACUCUGAAAUACUACAUUUUUCCCAACCUAAAAUGAUGUCAAAUAGGUGGAGAAAUGUUACAGCACACUGAAAUUAGGCAUAAUAUAGGAACUCAUAUGUUACAAUUAAAACUAGAAAUUCAUCUUAAACAUCUGCAGCUUCUUGUCUGCUGUUUCUUCAAACAAAUUAAAGCUACUCGCCUCUACUUGACCCAUAAUUUGUUCAUCUUCCCUCUUCAACAAUUUACUCAAUCCAUUAUAGAUGAUCAUUUAAGGCCACAUUAAUUAACGUUUAUUCAAGAAUCAAGAAUAUUGAAUUUUCUUUAUAAACAAUGCUGCUUGAGAUAAUCAAAACAGAACACUGGAAUCACAUUCUCCAAGAGUUUUAUUCUUCACCAUUUAAUGAGCAUAAGGUAUAUAUUGAAAAGUGAUCAAAUAAAUUUUGUUAAGUGAGUAAUUAUAAAGUGACAAAUCAGGAUCUUUAUUAUGUGAUGAGGAAUCGUACGUCAUGGACAUAUAUAACUGACAAAUGCAACAAACAAAUGGCAAGAAAAUUAACAUGUAGAGUUCGAGGGUUUUUUAGGACAGUAACUUAGAUUGAUUUGAAAAUUAGGACAAUAUCUUUCGAACUUGUAAAAAUAGAACACUAAUUUUUUUUAAAAAUAAAAUAGGACACUAAUUUUACGACGCUUAUUAUCGGCCGAGAAAUGUCCUAUUUUUACGACGCUUAUUAAUUAAUGUCCUAUAUAUUUUACUCUAAAAAAAUUAGUGUCCUAUUUUCACAAGUCCGAAAGUUUUUGUCCUAAUUUCCAAAUCAACAUAAGUUAUUGUCCUAAAAAAUCCCUUGACUCAACAUGUUAUGAUAAAGAAAUAGAGAAAAUGGCCCUCAUUGAUUAAAGAAGAAUUCAAAGUUUAUUUUGUUAUGUCAUCUGAAUCUCAUGCCUUGAUUAAAAAACAUUAAUUAAGAUAUGCAAUCUAAAAUAGAACUUCUUUAUUUUGUCUCAUUCAAUCAUUAAAGAAAUGUGUGAAGACUUCAUAUAUAGUUCAUCAAUAGACCUAUAUUCAUACCUCCCAGUGUGCGUGUGUGUGUGUGUGUGAGAGAGAGAGUGUGUGUUUUGAUCGAUGGAGGCAAAGCAAGCAAGUCUGUCGAUCCUAAUGUUCCCAUGGGUAGCCCAUGGCCAUGUCUUCCCCUACCUCGAGCUAGCCAACCACCUCUCGAAGCUAAACUUCACCAUCUUUCUCUGCUCCACUCCCAUCAUCCUCCAAUCCCUCCCCGACCACGGCGACAUCCCGAUCACCCUCGUCCCCCUCCACCUCCCCUCCCCGCCGGAGCUUCCGCCGGAGCUCCACACCACCAAGCACGCGCCGCCCCACCUCAUGCCGCGCCUCCACGAGGCCUUCCACGCCUCCAAAGCCGCCUUCUCCGCCAUCAUCGCCUCCCUCAGCCCCAGCAUGCUCAUCUACGACUGCUUCCAGGCCUGGGCCGCCGAAGCCGCCGCCGCCCUGAACAUCCCCGCCGUCCACUUCGCCACCACCGGCGCCGCCGCCUACUCCUUCUACUACCACCACCUCACCAGGAAGGGCUCCCCCUUCCCCCACGACGCGAUGUACCUCCACCGCCACGAGUUGGCGGCGCGGCGGGUCACCACCUCCGAUUUCGACGUGGAGAACUUAGACAACGGGCUUCCCUCCUUCAACCGCUCCCGCGACGUCGUUUUGAUGAAGACAUCGCCAGCCAUCGAAGGGAAAUACAUGGAUUACCUUUCUCAAUUGUGUAACAAGAAAAUACUCGCCCUGGGCCCACUUAUUACAACCGCCUCCGACAACGGUGGACAUGGUAAACGAAAACUGAAAAGUCAUACUUAUCUAUUUUUUUAUGAGGUGGUCUUGCGUACAAUCAAUCGGGUGCACUAUAUAAUUAGAUUACAUCCACACCUAAAUCUUAAUUCGAAUUCUAAUCUGAAUUCACGUCCUAAUUUCAAAUCGUAUAAAUAACAUUAUUAUGAAUGCAGUGCAAGAUACAUCCCAUUAUACUCGAAUUUUCGUGUUUUUUUUAUAUAUUCACGAAGAAUGUCGCAUUUCACUUAUUUAAGUAUCACAUCAUUUUUCACUCUAACCAUAAUUUGUACUUUUAUUUUAUCUUUUAACUAAUAAUAUAUUAUUAUUCUAUUUUUUAAUUUUUUUAUUUAUGUUUUUGAUCUUCUAUUUUUAUAUUUACUCGUACAUUCUAAAAUUGUGAAAUUCGACUGAUUAUAAAAUAUUUGAUAUGCAUAUCAAAUUAAAGAUCACGACAACAACUUUAAUUUAAUAUAUUUUAUGUAAGUAUUGGCUUGAAAAUGUGAAAGUUAUUUUUUUAAGAUUAAAAAUUAAAAUAAAAAUUAUUUUGCAUCUUUUGUUUAAUAAGUUCAUUUUUUAAUUAUUUUUUAUUUUUAUUUUUAUUUUUAUUUUUCUAUCCUUUUUCUUUUAACUUACUUUUUUGCUUUUUCAUAAUAUCAGUUUUGUUAUUAUUGUGGAUUUCUUUAUUUAUUUUUCCAUAUUAACUAAAAUUAUAUUUUUUUUCUAUGAUAGUUGAAUUAAUAAUUUAUUAUAUACAUAUAUAUAUAAGAUAUAAAAUUAAUUUCCGUGCAUAAAGCACAAAUUAAAUCAUAAGAAUUAAAAUUUUUCUUUACAAAUCUCAAGUUCAUAAAAUAUAGCCUUUAUAGAACUUCGACAUUGAUGCAGAUUCAGACAUAAUGGAUUGGUUAAGCAAGAAAGAGAGAUUCUCGACCAUUUUCAUCUCAUUUGGAAGCGAGAACUACUUGUCCAAGAAUCAAAUGCGAGAAAUGGCGAAAGGUCUAGAAGCUUCGAAAGCCAACUUCAUAUGGGUGGUGAGGUUUCCUCGAGGAGAGAGAGAUGAAGAAACCAAUGAAGCGCUGCCACUAGGGUUUGGUGAGAGAGUUGGAGAGAGAGGGAAGAUAGUGGAGGGGUGGGGCCCGCAGACCAAGAUUUUGGCGCAUGAGAAUGUUUGUGGUUUCAUUAGUCAUUGCGGGAUGAGUUCUACGAUCGAGAGCUUGUAUUUUGGGGUGCCGGUGAUCGGCGUUCCGAUCAAGAUCGAUCAGCCGUUGAAUUCGAGGCUGCUGAUGGAGG
rnacentral:lncRNA from 1 species